UUAAUCAUGCCUUUUUCUAGCAGCCAUAGAGAAGCCAAGGGUAUCACAACAAAUCACGGCCCAGUGAAAACUGUUUAAAGGGGACUGUUUGAUGUGUACAGAUGGAGUUUUGCCAUAUCUUCCAGGCUGGUCUUGAACACCUGACCUCAGUUAAUCCACCUGCCACGGCCUCCCAAAGCGCUGGAAUUACAGUCUCUUUCACCUGCUGCCACGUAAGAUGAGCCUGCCAUCCCUUCUGCCAUGACUGUAUAUUUCCUGAGGCUUCCCAAGACAUUGUGGAAUUGUGAGUCAAUUAAAUCUCUUUUCUUUAUAAAGUACCAGGUCUUGGGAAAU
rnacentral:lncRNA from 13 species